UUUCGAGGUGUAUGAGGGAAGAGACUUAAUUAAAAAUGUGACGCCCCCAGUUCUGUCAUACACUAAUCAUACACGCAAACGUGUAAGAUCAAAAUCAGGGACUCACGGGAAGAUAUCACAACACAACUCUAAACACAAAAGAAAGACAUACAAGCUUCAUAUUACAAGCCAGGGGCCUUGAGGGCUCGAAUACAAAAGCUCGAUACACAAGCGAGUCAGCGGAAGCAACAAUAUCUGAGUAUAAACAUAAGUUAAACAAGUUUUUCCUUAAGAAGGCUAGCACAAACAUCAAUGAUCGAAGAGGCAAGGCCUCCUGCCUGGGACCUCGUAACUACUCCUGUUCAUCCGGGGGCUCCACGUAGUAGUAGGCACCCUCGGGGUAGUAGCAGUAGUCGGCGGGGUGGCAUCAUCUGGAUCCUGGGAUCCACCAUCUGGUUGCAACAACCAGAAAGAAGAAAGAAGGGGGGAAGGGGGAGCAAAGCAACCAUGAGUACUCAUCCAAAGUACUCGCAAACAUCAGACCUAUACUAAGUAUGCAUUGGUAUCAAAUGGAAGGGUUGUAUCUGUGGACUGAACUGCAGAAUGCCAGAAUAGAGGGGGAAUGCCUAGCCUAUUGAAGACUAGCAUCUUCAAGAAGCUCCAAGCAUCUUGCAGCAUGUAGAAGAGUAAAGAAUAGCAUUUUAUAAUUAACAAGCAUGUUAUAGAAUUAACGCCCAGAGAUCCUCGACUCCCUGUGUGAAAGCAAUCUCGGAGCCACAUAUCCAUCACAUAUCUCAACUAUCCAUCUCUAGUUAUAUAAGAUCAGGAUACAAGUCUGAACGUCCAUUACCGUGGACACGGUAUUCGAAUAUAUAACUUCCUUGCAGGGGUGCACCACGUUACCCAACGCGCUCGAUCACUCUGGCCGGACACACCUUUCUAGGGUCAAUGCCCAGCCUCGGAAGAUCAACACGUUGCAGCCCUACAUAGGCUCAGCAGAGAGGUCCCCGCCGGUCUUCAUCCUAAGCACUCCGGGGUCGGGGCCCAUCGCCUAUUGCACUCUGGGUCGUUGCGAGCAGGGCGGGUCCAGGCUCCCCUCCACAUUGAUGGUGUCGGCCCAGCCGUGCCACAAUGCUGAACUAGACGUCUGACAAAGCUUCGGCAGAUAUUACGACGUCGAGGCCCAUAACUAUUCUCACGUGGUGGUUAGUACGUAAAGACCAAAGGCCAACUCAGAACAAAUACCCGAACCAUAGUGUAUUAUUUGCUUGCGGAGACGAGCAGAGACUCAUGAUCGAAGUGACCCUGUCACCCCUUCUCGUGGACUUACGACAAGGGCCCAGAAUGCCUGACCAUGCCACGUCAUUAUCUUGCGGGUGCUCUCCAGGCCCGCCCGACUUUCACCAAGGUCUCAAGUAAAGUCAUUGUAACCGUGUGACCAAACAUCAAGGGGAAAACCCGAGGAAUCACCCCCGGUGGACUCCACUCGAUGUAAUCAUCAAGGUGAACGUAAGAGGAACCACCCUCAAGGUUCACACUUGACGUGUUGCACGACAGAGCCGUAUCAGGAAUGGUGAAGGAGGAACCACCCUCGAUGACCACCACCGAAUAGCUACACUACAGAGAUCUCAUCAGGAGUGAUGUAUGAGGUUCCACCCUCGGCACUCGAUGGUAAUUUUGCAGAGUCGAGCAACAAAACGGGGUGUGAUGUGAUGUGAGGUGUCGGGCUCUGGUCGUCGAUCACGUCGAUCGAGUCGUCGAUGAUGAAGCAGGGGCAACAAGGACAAGGUGGGGUAACUGAUGGAUCACUAACCAACCUAUACUAAGAAGUUUAGGAUAAGCAUGUAGGUAAUAAUAAGCAGGUACGAAAGCAUCUAUGCAUCAGAAUAGGAGCAAUCAAUUACAGUAGCAAAAUCUAAUGCAAGCAUGAGAUAAUGGAAUGGGCGAUAUCGGAAUGAUCAAAGGGGGGCUUGCCUGGAAGCUCCGCUGAAAGGGAAGAAGUGUCGGCGGUGACGUAGUCGUUCACAGGGGCGACAUCAGUCUCGGGUCUACCGGACAGAAGAGGGGGAAGAAACAGUAAAUACAGAGCAAACAGAUACAUGACAAGUCAACAAUCAGAGCUAGGGGUGAUCUAACGCAGUACUACGCGAUAUAGGUGAAGGGGGAAUUCAACUGGGAAUAUUUUCCCUGUUCCGGACCUGUGUCAGACGGAUGACCGGAGAGGGAAUGUUCAAUGUUCAAAUAGUUAGGGGCAUCUAACAGGUAAACGGAUCGCGGAUUCGGAUUCGUCUCGUCGCUCUGAGCAACUUUCAUGUAUAAAACUUUUUCAUCCGAGUUACGAAUUAUUUUACAUGAUUUUUCAAAGUUUUAAACAAUAUUCUAAAAUUAUUAUUAGAUCAAAAAAAGGGGUGUUAUUGCAUCAGCAUGACAUCAUCAUGACGUCAGCAAUCAACAAAGUUGACCAAAGUCAACCCUGACAUGUAGGGCCGUUCUAUCAUAGACUAACAACUAAUUAACAGUUUUAAUUAACUAAUCAACUUUAUUAGGUAAAUUACGAGAGUUAAUUAAGUUAAUUAAUUACCUAAUUAAUUAAUUAACUAAUUAAUUAUUCUUCUUAUUAUUAUUUUUUAUUUUUCUUUUUAACGCUUUGGGGGCGGGCCCCCGUGUCAUAGGCCCAAGGGACCAUAUCGGGCGCCAGGUGCGGGUGCUAGGCGCCACAGGGCGCGAUGGCGGGCGCAGCCCGCGCGACGGCAAGCCCGACCGGAGGAACGGGGCGAGGCCACUGGGGCGCAGCACAGCGAAGCUACAACGACGGCGGCGGGGCUAUAGUGCAGGAGUGGCGCGACGCUGGGAGGAGUAGGUGGGCGAAGCCGCGGCGAGCCAAGGGAUGAGCCCGAGCGGGCAGAGGCGAGGGGUGUGGUCGGGGUUGGUCGGGCACGAGCGAGGCUAGGGCGCGCCCGACGAAGGCGCGCAGGCAGAAGCUGUGGCGCGUCCGGCACGAGCGGUCUACGGCGAAGGAAGGGGAAGAAGAGGGGAACAGAGGAGGGGACCUCACCGGCCCUGCAGAUGUGCGAAAGCGAGCUCGGGGAGGUGGUGGUGGACGACUGGACGUCGACGGCGCGAUGUGGUGGUGGCGUUCGGCAGCGAGGGCGGGCGACGUGGUCGGCACUGAGGCAAGGUCGUCGGGCGGCGGCACGUCCAGAUCGAGGGAGAGGGGCACUGCGGCGAGGUCUGGCGCGGUGGCGGGCGAUCCAAUGGACGACGGCAUCGAGGCACGCCAGGGUCGCGCAGGCGUCGGCAGGUGAUGAUGGGAUCAGGGUCGAUCUCGAUCAAGGAGGGGAUAAGUGGGAGGACCGAGGUAGUGGGGG
rnacentral:lncRNA from 1 species